rnacentral:rRNA from 1 species
AUUGAACGCUGGCGGCAGGCCUAACACAUGCAAGUCGAACGAGUGGCGGACGGGUGAGUAAUGUCUGGGAAACUGCCCGAUGGAGGGGGAUAACUACUGGAAACGGUAGCUAAUACCGCAUACCAUCGGAUGUGCCCAGAUGGGUUUAGCUGGUAGGUGGGGUAACGGCUCACCUAGGCGACGAUCCCUAGCUGGUCUGAGAGGAUGAACAGCCAAACUGGAACUGAGACACGGUCCAGACUCCUACGGGAGGCAGCAGUGGGGAAUAUUGGACAAUGGGCGAAAGCCUGAUGCAGCCAUGCCGCGUGUGUGAAGAAGGCCUUCGGUUUGUAAAGUACUUUCAGUGAGGAGGCGUUACUCACAGAAGAAGCACCGGCUAACUACGUGCCAGCAGCCGCGGUAAUAC